GAAGAUGCAGCUGAAUUGGUUGAGCUAGCCUCAAUAUGUCUUCAGUAUGAGGCCAGAGAUAGGCCUGACAAUCGAGUUCCUCCUAUCAUCAGUUGCGCCUCUGCAGAAGCAGAAAAGAGUUGGCUUCGCAUGUUCUUAUGGGUAUCGCUAAAACUCCCGGAGUGCUUCCAACAAUGCUAUCGCCGCUAGGGAAGGCAUGCGCUAGGAUGGACCUUACGGCUGUACACGGCAUCCUGCUUAAGACAGGUUAUAAGGAUGAAGAAGGUGCAGAAAAUGAGCUUUUGUUCCAAGAAUGGACGCAGCAAGUACAAGACAUGUGGAAUACAACGAAGUUUGGGGAUAUUGCUUUUAGGGACAAAGAUUUCAAGAAUGCGAUUGAGUACUACUCAAAG